UUGUGAUGUCACAUGACAGGUGAUGAAUUAGUAUCCUCCUCAAUGUAGAAGAACCCCAGGAGCUCUGGCGAGAUGCUCAGGGACCCGUGACCAUGGGCAGGGGCUCCUCCUUCCUAAGCCUCUGUUCUCUCUUUGGGAAGGAACAGAACCCAAGGCAGUGCCUUCCGCACAGGAUGGGGAAGAUCCACAGGAGAGGCUGUGGGCACGAGGCCCAGAGUGUGAACACAGCAAGGCACUACCAGACGGGCAGCCUGAGCACAUUCCAGGAAAGUUACUGACUAACCAGGGCCCACGAACAGUCAAGAAAGCCCUGGAAACCAUGUCAACGUGAUUCAAUGCAGGCAGUUAGGCUGCAUUCACUCAGUGGGACAUGAGCAGUGGAUAAAAGGACAAGUAACAUGCACUGACAGAGAAAGAUGUCCACAAGUUCAGGGUAACAACUACAUAAUGGAAGUUCUCAGCUCAGUCAGCAGUGCUCUCAAUGACAAUGAAUGAACUACUCCUCCAGCCUACCAUGGUAAAAAGGGAACGACUCCAUCACCACUCCAGCCACCCAGUUCUGCUGCCCAAACAGGCCCAAAGGGGCUGGGAGGAGAGGAAACCUCUGGCAGCUCUUCCCAGCACCCGUCAACCCCAGGACCUUGCAUGAGUCUCAACACUGAAAAACUGUGAUGACAACCACGCCAUCUGAUGGUGUGCCUGCCUCUUCACAACUCCAGAGGUAACGCUGAUCAACUGCUCCCUGUGCACCGUGUGCUGUGGCAAGUGUGCCGUGUGCAUGACUUCAUCUACUCCUGUCAACCUCCUGUUGGGAGACUCAGCCCUGCCUGGGUCUCUGGCUCUCCGACACAGGCCACACCAAAAGGCUGGGUCCUGACCACCCUUGGCUCAGGACACUCCUCAGGGUGGUGUCUGCAGCGAGCAACCUUGAGGGAGGCAAUUCUGUCUCCCUCAGGGAUGAAGAGCAGGUCUACCUGCUAUAGAGCAGCAACUUCCCCAGGCUCCAUGCUCUGUGGAUGUGACUCAAAGCACAGCAUCCAUCUGGGCCCACAGUAUCACCCUUGCAGGAUGUGGGGGAGAGGGAAGUGAUACACAUGCUUUCCUGAUGACAGAGUUUUGGGUCUGGUGGGGAGUUUUAUACAUACAAAAAUAGGUAAGGGAGACAGGGUGAGUUUUCCCUCCAGAUGAUCCCACCCUGAGUCCUGUAACCCAAAACUUUUUGGCACGAAGGACCAGUUUUAGGAAAGACAAUUUUUUCAUGGACCAGACAGGAGGUAUGGUUUCAGGGAUU